UCAGACGGCCCCCGCAAGGGGGAACCGUGAACCGGGUCAGGCCGUAACAGGAGCAGCCCUAAGCGGGGUACUCUUGUGCGGGGGCCGUCCGGCGG
rnacentral:SRP_RNA from 1 species